GAUGAAGAACGCAGCGAAGUGCGAUAAGUAAUGUGAAUUGCAGAAUUCCGUGAAUCAUCGAAUUUUUGAACGCAAAUUGCACUCUCUGGUAUUCCGGAGAGUAUGCCUGUUUGAGGGUCAGUAAAAUAAAAAUCGAUGUCGUUAUCAUGGGAUAACGCGUCGGAAUUGAGUCGUCUUACCUUCGGUUAAGUGACUUAAAAUUUUUACGCGAAUUCGAAACGUAUUUAAUGUUUAUGUACGUUUGCGACAUUCCAAUUUAUUAGGUGCGAUCAUUCCUAUGAUUCGCGUCUAUAAUUUUUCAUUUCUUGACCUCAAAUCAGGUAAGAGUACCCGCUGAACUUAAGCAUAUCAAUAAGCGGAGGA
rnacentral:misc_RNA from 1 species